AGUGUUUGAUGAUGGCUCAGAUUGAACGCUGGCGGCAUGCCUAACACAUGCAAGUCGAACGGAAACGAUGGGAGCUUGCUCCCAGGCGUCGAGUGGCGGACGGGUGAGUAAUACUUAGGAAUCUGCCCAUUAGUGGGGGACAACUAGAAGAAAUUCUAGCUAAUACCGCAUACGCCCUACGGGGGAAAGCGGAGGACCUUUCGGGGCUUCGCGCUAAUGGAUGAGCCUAAGUCGGAUUAGCUUGUUGGUGAGGUAAUGGCUCACCAAGGCGACGAUCCGUAGCUGGUCUGAGAGGACGAUCAGCCACACUGGGACCGAGACACGGCCCAGACUCCUACGGGAGGCAGCAGUGGGGAAUAUUGGACAAUGGGCGCAAGCCUGAUCCAGCAAUGCCGCGUGUGUGAAGAAGGCCUGCGGGUUGUAAAGCACUUUCAGUAGAGAAGAAAAGCCUACGGUUAAUACCCGUGAGUCUUGACGUAACCUACAGAAGAAGCACCGGCUAACUCCGUGCCAGCAGCCGCGGUAAUACGGAGGGU
rnacentral:rRNA from 1 species